rnacentral:rRNA from 1 species
CAUUAUUGAAUGAACUUGGUCGGGCUGAUGCUGGUCCCAAAAUGAGGGGCAUGUGCACGCCUGCCACCAUCUUCUUUUUACCACCUGUGCACCUUUUGUAGACUUUGGGACAACCUUUCCGAGGUUCAAACUCGGUUGAAAGGGCUGCUGAUGCCUUAAAAAGGCCAGCUUUCCUUUGCCUGUCUUCUGGUCUAUGUCUUUUUUCACAAAUGUAUGACAAAGAAUGUUAUGUUGACAGGCAUCAUCAUUGCCUUUAAAACCUAAUACAACUUUCAACAACGGAUCUCUUGGCUCUCGCAUCGAUGAAGAACGCAGCGAAAUGCGAUAAGUAAUGUGAAUUGCAGAAUUCAGUGAAUCAUCGAAUCUUUGAACGCACCUUGCGCUCCUUGGUAUUCCGAGGAGCAUGCCUGUUUGAGUAUCAUGAAAUUCUCAACCUUGUUUGCAUAUGUGAUCAGGGUUGGAUUGUGGGAGGCUUGUUUGCAGGCUUCAAUUGAAGUCUGCUCUCCUGAAAUAUAUUAGCAAAAGUUGCAUGAUCAGCUUUUUAUUGGUGUGAUAAUCAUCUACGCCAUGGGCUGUGAAAGCGAGUUUGCCUUCCAAUCAUCAUCAUCAUUUCAUGACUUUUUGAUCUCAAAUCAGGUAGGACUACCC